GGGGCUACCUGGGGCAAGGCGAGCCGAUCGAGGCCUGGGGCGCCGAUCAUGUGCUGUCUGCACCGCAUCAGCUCUUGCAAUGGCUGGAUCUGGCCUAAACUGUCGAGUUCCAGGGGCCGACCUGGCUUCGACGUGGGUGCGGAGUCGGUUCAGGGCAUGCCGAGCACCAGUUCGCUCGUAAAACCACUGGAAACAAAGUAACUGCGAACGAUACCUCGUACGCUCUCGCCGCUUAAAAACCGGUGAGCUUCGCAACGGUUGGCCGAUGGGCCGGGCCGGAGGUGCCAAGCAAUUGGCGCUGAUGGCUGCGAAGUCAUUCACAUUGGCUGGUGCCCGGCUGCGUCAUUCAGCCGGGAGCGAGACUCAAGUGACUGGUGGGCCGGGUAGCGUGCUGCUGCGCGACACGGCCCACGAGACUGAAAUCAGACAGCUAAGCAUGUAGAACUGGCCGGUGAUGGCUUGCGGACGGGGGUUCGAUUCCCCCCGGCUCCACCA
rnacentral:tmRNA from 1 species